UCAGUAGGGAUGAAAAGAACGGAGCGAUGCGGUUGUAAAUCAGAAGGGCGGAGAAGUUUGCGGCUCAGAGCAGAGGCUGUGUCCAAAUUCAGAGGGUGCAUCCUUGAGCAUGCUCUCAACUCUCUGCCAUCCAGCACCAUUGGUCUAGCUCCUUUUUACAUGGUUCUUGGCUACCAGCCUCCUGUGUUUACGGUCCAGGAGAAUGUCCCUUCUGCCUAUGUGGCCGCUCACAGAUGCCAACGUGUUUGACAAGAGCGAGAAAGGCUCUCGUGAGGAUGUCCACAGUCUACUCCAGGGCAGCCAACCGUCGUGAAAUCCCAGCCCCUUGUAAUCCACCAAGGAUCUUCCCCUCCGAGUGGAAAGUCACAAGCUGGUGCCACGCUUCACUGGACCUUUCCCCGUUUCCAAAGUGGUGGACCCGGUGGCAGUGUUGCAUACGAUCGGCGUGAUCAUAGUCACUUUUGGAUCCAAGUUGAGGAGGUCCUUCUUGCCAGGAUGGAGACAACUCACGCGCGCUGCGUCCAUCCAUUCGGUUCUACUGCUGGAGAUCCAUGUGGUAGAGGCCGCCAUGUAAGAACACAUCGUUUUUGUUCAGCUUUGAGUCCUCCUCUUCCUGGGCUGAGCUGGAUGUAUGUUAAUGCGAUUUAUUUUGAAAGUUCCAGAAAAGUUCAUACCAGCCUUUAAUGUUGUAACCCAUGGCUGGGGUCCCAACAACUGAAAAGGUGUGUGCGUCCAAGAAAUCAAAGGCCUGACAGACCCACUCUGAUCCUUGGAUGAGGACCAGCAGACAUAUUGACAACCGACCCUUGUGCAACAGCAGCCAUCUAUCCCAGCCCCUUGUUUAUAUGUUAACACUGGACUGAGUCACUGUAGAAUCAGUGAGUUGUUUUAUGUUUUUUCUUAACAAAACCACUUCAAUGAAUUUGACUGAUUGAUGAUAUCGUUAGCUAAGAUGUACUGUCUAAAAUCUAUGGGACAUCAAAGCAUUCAAUAAAUUUAGCAUUUUUGUAUUUAAAAUUGUAUUUCUUGCGAAUUUGGUGCCUGGCCUUUAGUCUUCAUUGACGUCAUCUACCCUUCUGCUACAGCAGCUCAGCCUUUGCAGCUAAAAAUCUUUAGGUCAUGUUGUGACUGUAUGGUCACCUUGUCUCUGCCUAAUUGUUAAUUGAGAUCAGUUGAAGUUGGUGGAGCUACAUUCUGUGUCACCACUUGUCAUUCUUUCUUAGCCUUAGCCCAAUAUUUUUCACUUACAUACCAAGAGGUAGGACAUCCUGUAUAUUUUCUGUAAUCCAUGGACAUCUGGCAUAUUUCAUGUAUUUGCAUACAAUAAAUCUGUGAGAACUGAUCACAUACUGAAAGGA